rnacentral:rRNA from 1 species
GGGCGUAAAGAGCUCGUAGGUGGUUUGUCGCGUUGUUCGUGAAAUCUCACGGCUUAACUGUGAGCGUGCGGGCGAUACGGGCAGACUAGAGUACUGCAGGGGAGACUGGAAUUCCUGGUGUAGCGGUGGAAUGCGCAGAUAUCAGGAGGAACACCGGUGGCGAAGGCGGGUCUCUGGGCAGUAACUGACGCUGAGGAGCGAAAGCGUGGGGAGCGAACAGGAUUAGAUACCCUGGUAGUCCACGCCGUAAACGGUGGGUACUAGGUGUGGGUUUCCUUCCUUGGGAUCCGUGCCGUAGCUAACGCAUUAAGUACCCCGCCUGGGGAGUACGGCCGCAAGGCUAAAACUCAAAGGAAUUGACGGGGGCCCGCACAAGCGGCGGAGCAUGUGGAUUAAUUCGAUGCAACGCGAAGAACCUUACCUGGGUUUGACAUGCACAGGACGCGUCUAGAGAUAGGCGUUCCCUUGUGGCCUGUGUGCAGGUGGUGCAUGGCUGUCGUCAGCCCGUGUCGUGAGAUGUUGGGUUAAGUCCCGCAACGAGCGCAACCCUUGUCUCAUGUUGCCAGCGGGUAAUGCCGGGGACUCGUGAGAGACUGCCGGGGUCAACUCGGAGGAAGGUGGGGAUGACGUCAAGUCAUCAUGCCCCUUAUGUCCAGGGCUUCACACAUGCUGCAAUGGCCGGUACAAAGGGCUGCGAUGCCGUAAGGUUAAGCGAAUCCUUUUAAAGCCGGUCUCAGUUCGGAUUGGGGUCUGCAACUCGACCCCAUGAAGUCGGAGUCGCUAGUAAUCACA